rnacentral:rRNA from 1 species
UACAGAGGGUGCGAGCGUUGUCCGGAAUCACUGGGCGUAAAGGGCGCGUAGGUGGCGACCCAAGUCCGUGGUGAAAGCUCGUCGCUUAACGACGAGUCGGCCACGGAGACUGGGUGGCUCGAGCACUGUAGGGGCAGAUGGAAUUCCGAGUGUAGCGGUGGAAUGCGUAGAGAUCCGGAAGAACACCAGUGGCGAAGGCGGUCUGCUGGGCAGUUGCUGACACUGAGGCGCGACAGCGUGGGGAGCAAACAGG